ACAAGGUCGGAUAUAGCCGCAGUUACUCCAUUUUUGACAAACGUCAAAAUUGAAUUCAAAACUUGCAGACCUGAUUAGUUCUUGAUCAAAUUUGUGUUUUUUUCGUGAAAUGUGCCAAUUUAUAGAGGAAAAUGUGCAGAAGUCACUAUGAAGUUUUGAAUAAUGAAACCUAGAACAAGAAGAAACGUCGGAAAUCCGAGAAAGAAAUUGAAUAAAUUCGUCGGCACAAAUCCUUAAUAAAAGCAAAGAAAAUUAUCCAUGUUGUAGCCAGAUCCUGCAGUUUUAAAUAAAUCUCGACUCGAACAAGUAGGCUCUCGAACGAGUAGGAAAAUUGGUUUUUAUCCUAACAAGUCCGUUGGAUCAAAUGUGCUUGCGCCAAAUCAUUUGUUCUGUUGAAGUUAUAAUAAAAAUAAAAAACUUGCAUUUCAAAUUAUUAA